UACGUAGGGGGCAAGCGUUGUCCGGAUUUAUUGGGCGUAAAGAGCGUGUAGGCGGCUCGGUAAGUCCGCUCUGAAAGCCCGGGGCUCAACCCCGGGAGGCGGGCGGAUACUGUCGAGCUAGAGUCCGGAAGAGGCGAGUGGAAUUCCUGGUGUAGCGGUGAAAUGCGCAGAUAUCAGGAGGAACACCUGUGGUGUAGACAGCUUACUGGACCAUUACUGACGCUGAGGCACGAAAGCGUGGGUAGCAAACAGG
rnacentral:rRNA from 1 species